UACGGAGGGGGCUAGCGUUGUUCGGAAUUACUGGGCGUAAAGCGCACGUAGGCGGAAUGUUAAGUCAGGGGUGAAAUCCCGGGGCUCAACCCCGGAACUGCCUUUGAUACUGGCAUUCUCGAGUCCGGAAGAGGUGAGUGGAAUUCCGAGUGUAGAGGUGAAAUUCGUAGAUAUUCGGAGGAACACCAGUGGCGAAGGCGGCUCACUGGUCCGGUACUGACGCUGAGGUGCGAAAGCGUGGGGAGCAAACAGG
rnacentral:rRNA from 1 species